GUAGGUGGCAAGCGUUGUCCGGAAUUAUUGGGCGUAAAGCGCGCGCAGGCGGUCCUUUAAGUCUGAUGUGAAAGCCCACGGGCUCAACCGUGGAGGGUCAUUGGAAACUGGGGGACUUGAGUACAGAAGAGGAAAGCGGAAUUCCAAGUGUAGCGGUGAAAUGCGUAGAGAUUUGGAGGAACACCAGUGGCGAAGGCGGCUUUCUGGUCUGUAACUGACGCUGAGGCGCGAAAGCGUGGGGAGCAAGCAGGAUUAGAUACCCUGGUAGUCCACGCCGUAAACGAUGAGUGCUAAGUGUUAGGGGGUUUCCGCCCCUUAGUGCUGCAGCUAACGCAUUAAGCACUCCGCCUGGGGAGUACGGCCGCAAAGGCUG
rnacentral:rRNA from 1 species